rnacentral:rRNA from 1 species
AUGAUUGAACACCUAUCGCUUGUCAAUUGGAAUGUGAGGGGUUUGAAUGACCGGGCGAGGCACACGACAGUUCAUGCUAUGGUCGACCGCAUGCGCUGCUCAAUUGUGUGUCUUCAAGAGUCAAAACUAGCUGCUUUCACCGAUGCUGAUCGGAUGGAAAUCGUUGGGGCGCAUUUUGACAGGCAUGCUGUUUUGAAUGCUGAUGGGACUCGCGGUGGGGUGUUGUUGUGCUGGCAGUCGGAGUCCCUAACCGCUAGCGGCAUCUCGGUGCGAGAGUUCUCCAUCACCGUGUGUUUCACGCCGUCGAACGGCGGGCCGUUUGGUCCCUGA